GAUGAACGCUGGCGGCGUGCCUAAUACAUGCAAGUCGAGCGAAUGGAUUAAGAGCUUGCUCUUAUGAAGUUAGCGGCGGACGGGUGAGUAACACGUGGGUAACCUGCCCAUAAGACUGGGAUAACUCCGGGAAACCGGGGCUAAUACCGGAUAACAUUUUGAACCGCAUGGUUCGAAAUUGAAAGGCGGCUUCGGCUGUCACUUAUGGAUGGACCCGCGUCGCAUUAGCUAGUUGGUGAGGUAACGGCGCACCAAGGCAACGAUGCGUAGCCGACCUGAGAGGGUGGUCGGCCAAACUGGGACUGGGACACGGCCCAGACUCCUACGGGAGGCAGCAGUAGGGAAUCGUCCGCAAUGGACGAAAGUCUGACGGAGCAACGCCGCGUGAGUGAUGAAGGCUUUCGGGUCGUAAAACUCUGUUGUUAGGGAAGAACAAGUGCUAGUUGAAUAAGCUGGCACCUUGACGGUACCUAACCAGAAAGCCACGGCUAACUACGUGCCAGCAGCCGCAGUAA
rnacentral:rRNA from 1 species